CUGGGAAUCUCUAGACCCUCCAGCAGAACUCUUAUGGGGGAAAUUGAUCACGGAGUCCUACUGGAGGACUUAGAGAUUUCUGG
ensembl:miRNA aca-mir-5459 aca-mir-5459